CCCAGCACCCGAGUGUCCCCGGCGCCGCCCAAGCCUCAGCCUGGAACGAGAGAGGGGGCUCCGCGAAGGACUGUCGGAAAGGGUGGGGGGUAGAGGACUGUUGGGGAUGACAGCUCCCCAGCUCAGGCGCCGCCUUCUCGCCCCGGCUCUGCCUGGCUGGAAGCAGGACCCAGAAGGGAGGAUCGCUCACUGCCCACCUUGCUCGCGCUUGGAAUGCCACCCUGCCGGCCCUUGGAGAAGGAAAUCUCUCCCUGGACGCUGGCGCUUUCCCAGGAACCAGUCCUAGGAGCCAUUCCCUGAGCGCUUUCCCUGGAGCUCGGAGCUCCGAGUGCUGUUGCUGACCUGGGAGCCCCGCAAGAUGCUCCAGGGGCUGGGGACGAUUUUGUGCUUGUUGGGAGGGGGGAAUGAUGAAGAAACUUACAACCUCACGUAAUGGGACAAAACUGAAAUCGUUAUGACAUGUUUGUCCGUGGGGACUUGUCCCCUGGGCGCUCAUGGAGCUUUUCCCAUGGAGUUGAUUUGUUUUGCAACAUGCGCCCGGGAGUGACGGGGACCCACGACAGCUGGGUAGGCACGCCGUGAACCAGAAGCCAGCGUCGGGCACAGGGAGCCCAAGAAGUGGGUUCAGUGAGGUUGACUUCGCUGAUUGUCUUCCUGUACUAAUGGCUUGCUGGGGGCAAGCUAGGGCGCCCCCUUCUCUGGUUUGGACCACGCUCUCAGUACACAGGAGGCUUUCA
rnacentral:lncRNA from 1 species